GACGGUGCUGCGCGAGACGUGCGUGUUGCUGGCGCUGGGAUGCGCACGGCUGCUGUCACUGCCAGCCAUAGACUACCAGCAGCACGCAUCAGAGUACGGCGUACACUGCAACUUCUUCUUCGUGCUCGCCUUCACUAAAAUUAUUUGUGGUCCGUGGUGCUGGUCUGUGAGUGCUGCAGGAGCUGCAGCCGCUGCUUGCUGCUGCACGGCACUGCAGCACUGCUGCACAGCUCUCCUGCAAGACUGGGUCUUCAGUUCUCAACUCAGGGACUCGCUUGUCUCCGGCAACCGUGAGGCUGUGGUGGGCGCCACAGGCUACGUCGCUCUCUACUGCUGGGGCGCUGCGCUCGGUAAGGUCGUCCUGCGUCA
rnacentral:lncRNA from 1 species